rnacentral:rRNA from 1 species
AGAGUUUGAUCCUGGCUCAGGACGAACGCUGGCGGCGCGCCUAACACAUGCAAGUCGAACGAGAGAGAGGGAGCUUGCUCCCUCAAUCGAGUGGCGAACGGGUGAGUAACGCGUGAGGAACCUGCCUCAAAGAGGGGGACAACAGUUGGAAACGACUGCUAAUACCGCAUAAGCCCACAGCUCGGCAUCGAGCAGAGGGAAAAGGAGCAAUCCGCUUUGAGAUGGCCUCGCGUCCGAUUAGCUGGUUGGUGAGGUAACGGCCCACCAAGGCGACGAUCGGUAGCCGGACUGAGAGGUUGAACGGCCACAUUGGGACUGAGACACGGCCCAGACUCCUACGGGAGGCAGCAGUGGGGAAUAUUGCACAAUGGGGGAAACCCUGAUGCAGCGACGCCGCGUGGAGGAAGAAGGUCUUCGGAUUGUAAACUCCUGUUGUUGAGGAAGAUAAUGACGGUACUCAACAAGGAAGUGACGGCUAACUACGUGCCAGCAGCCGCGGUAAAACGUAGGUCACAAGCGUUGUCCGGAAUUACUGGGUGUAAAGGGAGCGCAGGCGGGAAGACAAGUUGGAAGUGAAAUCUAUGGGCUCAACCCAUAAACUGCUUUCAAAACUGUUUUUCUUGAGUAGUGCAGAGGUAGGCGGAAUUCCCGGUGUAGCGGUGGAAUGCGUAGAUAUCGGGAGGAACACCAGUGGCGAAGGCGGCCUACUGGGCACCAACUGACGCUGAGGCUCGAAAGUGUGGGUAGCAACAGGAUUAGAUACCCUGGUAGUCCACACCGUAAACGAUGAUCACUAGGUGUUGGAGGAUUGACCCCUUCAGUGCCGCAGUUAACACAAUAAGUAAUCCACCUGGGGAGUACGACCGCAAGGUUGAAACUCAAAGGAAUUGACGGGGGCCCGCACAAGCAGUGGAGUAUGUGGUUUAAUUCGACGCAACGCGAAGAACCUUACCAAGUCUUGACAUCCUGCGACGGACAUAGAAAUAUGUGUUUCCUUCGGGACGCAGAGACAGGUGGUGCAUGGUUGUCGUCAGCUCGUGUCGUGAGAUGUUGGGUUAAGUCCCGCAACGAGCGCAACCCUUACUGUCAGUUACUACGCAAGAGGACUCUGGCAGGACUGCCGUUGACAAAACGGAGGAAGGUGGGGAUGACGUCAAAUCAUCAUGCCCUUUAUGACUUGGGCUACACACGUACUACAAUGGCGUUAAACAAAGAGAAGCAAGACCGCGAGGUGGAGCAAAACUCAGAAACAACGUCCCAGUUCGGACUGCAGGCUGCAACUCGCCUGCACGAAGUCGGAAUUGCUAGUAAUCGUGGAUCAGCAUGCCACGGUGAAUACGUUCCCGGGCCUGUACACACCGCCCGUC